AUUUCUGUAGGAGAUGCCAUUGGUAGUCUAGUGGUCGUCGCAAUUUAUUAUCAAUCACUUUAUUCUCUUGGUAAAGAAUGUGAGAGGAAGCUGUUGAUUAACUUUGAUAAUCCCAUUAACUUUGAUAAUCCCAUGUACCAUUCUGACUCUAUCACAGUUGUUAUUCCACCAAAGGCAGGAGUUGAAGAGGCUCAGUCCGUAUUUCUCUCAACAGCAACAAGUUGAUUACUUGUCUGCCAUCUUUGCUAAACGAUGGGACAGCCAUCAGACG